rnacentral:rRNA from 1 species
CCUACGGGCGACUGCAGUAGGGAAUUUUGCGCAAUGGGCGAAAGCCUGACGCAGCAACGCCGCGUGAUCGAGACGCCCUUCGGGGUGUAAAGAUCUGUCAGUGGGGACGUAACUUGACGGUACCCACAGAGGAAGCACCGGCUAACUCCGUGCCAGCAGCCGCGGUAAUACGGGGGGUGCAAGCGUUGUCCGGAAUCAUUGGGCGUAAAGGGUUCGUAGGCGGCACGUAAAGUCUGGUGUUAAAGGCAGAGGCUCAACUUCUGUACGGCACUGGAUACUGGCGAGCUAGAAUGCGGUAGGGGUAGGCGGAAUGCCUGGUGUAGCGGUGAAAUGCUUAGAUAUCAGGCAGAACAUCGAUGGCGAAGGCACUUUACUGGGCCGUAAUUGACGCUGAUGCACGAAAGCGAGGGUAGCAAACAGGAUUAGAUACCCUAGUAGUC